rnacentral:rRNA from 1 species
GGAUUAGAUACCCUGGUAGUCCACGCCGUAAACGAUGGGUGCUAGUUGUCGGGCGGCAUGCCGUUCGGUGACGCAGCAAACGCGUUAAGCACCCCGCCUGGGGACUACGGUCGCAAGACUAAAACUCAAAGGAAUUGACGGGGGCUCACACAAGCGGUGGAGCAUGUGGAUUAAUUCGAAGCAACGCGAAGAACCCUACCUGGGUUUGACAUGCUUGGAUGCCCUCCUGGAAACAGGAGUAAGCUGCCUUCGGGUGAAACUUGCACAGGUGCUGCAUGGCUGUCGUCAGCUCGUGCUG